rnacentral:rRNA from 1 species
UACGUAGGGUGCAAGCGUUGUCCGGAAUUAUUGGGCGUAAAGAGCUCGUAGGCGGUUUGUCGCGUCUGCUGUGAAAUCCCGAGGCUCAACCUCGGGCCUGCAGUGGGUACGGGCAGACUGGAGUGCGGUAGGGGAGAAUGGAAUUCCUGGUGUAGCGGUGGAAUGCGCAGAUAUCAGGAGGAACACCGAUGGCGAAGGCAGUUCUCUGGGCCGUAACUGACGCUGAGGAGCGAAAGCGUGGGGAGCGAACAGG